rnacentral:lncRNA from 1 species
UAACUAACAUGCAGCAUUUAUUGAACCUUUUCCAUAUUUCAGUCACUUUACUAAGCACUUUGCUUUUAACUCAUCUAUUCCUCAUCAUAUUUUUUGAAAUAGGAAUUAACAUCCUCACCUUAUAGUCGAGGACACUAAGGCUUAAAGAGUUUAAGUAAUUCACUCACAUAAUUGCAUAAUUUUCAGAAGUAUUUUUGUCAAACAAAUAUAAUCUGGUAUUUGUUGUUUUUAAAAUUAGUAUCUACAUGACAGAAAAAGAAGAUAUAUGAAGAAAGUUCCUAUGGACAUACUGUAAAUAUGGUUUCCUCUGGGCAAUAAGACAGACUUACUCAACCACGAUGAAAUCAACUUCCAUCCCAGUUCUACAAUGUGGUGACUUUGUAUCUGAUACCGCAGUCUUUGUGUUGCCAGCGCUUAGUCCUCUGAAGAUGUACUUCAGUCUACUUGAGGAUCCCAAAGAGAUGACCAAGAAAACAAGCUCACUUCAGAACAGUUAGCAAUUUUCCAGCUACUUUAAGAGAUAAGAGAAAUUCUCUCAUACCUUUCAGUCAGCUGUUAAGUUUCAUGGUCCAUGUAAAGGGAGGAAUUGGUUACUGAAAAAUCAAAGGAUCUCUUUACUGCCAGUGCAUUUUUUUUUUACUAUUUAAACUUUUUUGUUAAAAAUUAAAACACAAACACACACACAUUGGCUUAGGCCUACACAGGGUCAGGAUCAUCAAUAUCACUGUCCUCCACCUCCACAAUUUGUCCCACUGUGAGGUCUUCAAUGGCAAUAACAUGCAUGGAGCUGUUAUCUCCUAUGAAAACAAUGCCUUCUUCUGGAAUUCCUCCUGAAGAACCCUCCUGAGGCUGUUUUACAGUUACUUUUUUUUAAAAAAAUAAUCAGAAGGAGUACACUCUAAAAUAACAAGUAUAAUAUAGUAAGUACAUAAACUAGAGUCAUUUAUUAUCAUUAUCAAGUAUUAUGUACUGUACAUAAUUGUGUGUGCUAUGCUUUUAUACGACUGACAGCACAGUAGGUUCAUUUGUGCCAGCAUCACCACAAAGACCUGAGUAAUGAGUUGCACUGUGAUGUUAAGAUGGCUACAACAUCACUAGGUGAUAGAAAUUUUUCAGCUCCAAUAAAACUACCAUCACAUAUGUGGUUCGUCAUUGACCAAAAUGCUGUCGUGCAGUGCACGCUUUAUUUUUAAGAGCUUAUCACAUAUUCAGCUAUGUUCAUCUUCAACAAUGUAAUACUUUAGUGCUCUGUAAAAAUUCUCUUUGUAAUUCUAUUCCUUGAGAGUCAUGAUACCUGCAUUCUGCCUUAGCUCUUUCACUUUGUAUAUAUGAGUAUUUACAUGUCGUAAAAUCCGAUUUCUCAUAUUCUUUUCAGCUCAGGAC